GAUUUUGUUCUCCUCCUCCUCCCCCUCCUCCUCCUCCUUAUCCCUCUCCUCUCCCUCCUCUUCCCUCUCACGUCUCUCCUCCUCCUCCCCCUCCUCCUCCUCCUUAUCCCUCUCCUCCCCCUCCUCUUCCCCCUCAUGUCUCUCUUCCUCCUCCACCUCCUCCUCCUCAUCCCUCUCCUCCCCCUCCUCUUCCCCCUCACGCUCUUCUUUUUCUCCCAUUCCUCCCCCUCUCUCUCCAGUCUCCUCCAGCUCCCUUGUUCUCCUCCCCCAGAUCCUCCUCCACUGCCACUGACCAGGCACUGGAGUCGCAGGAUUUCGGAGGAUGAGAACAAAAUCUCCCUCACUCUUUCCUCUCUCCUCCCCCUCUCAUUCUUCUUUCUCUCCCAUUCCUCCCUCACUCCUUCCUCUUUCCUCUCCCUCCUCCUCCUCUUCUCACUCUUCUUUUUCUCCCCUCCUUCCACCCUCUGUCCUAUCUCCUCCCGCUCCUCCUUUCCUUGUUCUCCUCCCCCGGAUCCUCCUCCAGUGCCACUGACCAAGCGCUGGAGUUGCAGGAUUUCGGAGGAUGAGAACUAAAUCUUCCUUCGGAGGCUGCCUCCACUCUCCUUCCCCUCCAACUUUUUCUGGUCAGCGACCUCCUGACAAACAUGCAGGAGGACCCCUCUCACUAUGUUUUACUAACCAAUGUGUGAGUUUCUCUCCCCAGAAGCCUCCUGCCCUACCUAAGAGGGCUGCUGGACCUCCUGCUGGCCAGUCUCCAUUUAAGAAGGUUCGCAAAUCUUCCAUUUCAUUAAAUUUACCUAGUUUUAUUUUCAACAUUUUAGCUACGUGUGAUUUUCUGGAUGUGAUCUGAUCAGAUUUUAUUUGAAUCAGUCUGUUGUGAUUAUGUCUGAUCAGAUCUAUUCCAACUUUAUUUGAAUGGAUUUUCUUAGAUUGUAUUUUGUGUGAUUCUAUCGGAGCUCGGUUCUUGUCGGUGGAACUCUGGUCAGGGUUUCCUGUUAGAGGUGUGGGUGGAUCUGGGAGGGAUCGUGGGAUACCUCCAGUGGUCCCCCCCUUACAGUGAAGCUCCACUCUGUCAGAAGGUGAACAGGAUGCAGACGGCAUGUUACACAGGAGUAACAUGUAUGUCUGUAUCCCACCCUGGACCCACAGUGGAGUCCACAGUGACAAGAUCACAGUUCAGGAGAGUCACACUGGGAUUUAAAAGGGGGGUUAAAUGUCUUAUUUAAGAUAAUAAAUGUAGUGUGAGGGUGAAGGUCUCACUGCCAGAGGGAAGUUUCCAGAAAAAAAGGUACGUACGGAUCCCUGUGAAUGCUGCUGUAUGAAAAGGUGAGUUUGGGAUUUUGAUUUUGCAUUCGUAUAUCUAAUAUUUUGAAAUCUCAACAAUAGUAACACUUGGAGAAGAUUCUGCUGCGUUUUUCUUUUUGAUUUCUUUCAGACUGAUGACCCCGGGACCCAAGACCAAGACAAGGAUGAACCCAAAAGACGACUUAAAGACGAGUGACCGAGCCCCAACAGAGAUGAAGCCAGAGAUGACGACCAGCCUGUGAGGAGAAAAAAGAACAACUUUACUGAGACUUUACUGGAUGCACUGGUGCUUCAAUGACACCAAGCAGAUUCAGACAGGAUGGAACAGAGAUGAUGGGAGGCAGAUCCAGGACCAGUGCAUGACCAUCGCGAGACCAUUCAGUUAACACAAGAGCUCUCUCUCCAAGAUCCUCAAUCUAAUGAAAGAUCAGAUCAACAAACCAGACAAGGAACAACCCAUGAUGUGAAUCCAGAUUAUGGAAGAGAGGAUGAUUAUUACAGUGACACAAAAGGGGGAAGUCGGAGCACCCAGAGGAAACCCACACAGUCGCAGAGAGAACAUGAACAGAAAGAACCAGCUGAGCAGCAGAAGAUAAAGAGAUGGUUGGAGGAGCCCCAGGACAGCAGAACCAGGCCAGGAAGAUGAAGAAGAUGAAGACCAGCCCCAAAUGGACAAGAAGAAGAAGAAGAAGAAGAAGAAGAAGAAGAAGAAGAAGAAGAAGAAGAAGAAGAAGAAGAAGAAGAAGAAGAAGAAGAAGAAGAAGAAGAAGAAGAAGAAGAAGAAGAGCAGCUCCAGAUUUCUCCAAUGGUUUCUCUGGAUCUGGAGCUGCAUGUUUCUUAUCUGCUGUUAUUGGCCUCAGUGACCUCCACAGUCUUCAUGUUCUCUUCCUCCUCUCUACCCUCAACCCAACCACAGUUGUUUUUUUUUUACUUCCCAGACGGGAGUUUUUUUUUUCCUCACCCCAACUGGAGGUUUUGGUUUUUUUUUUUUUACUUCCCAACAACAGGAAGUUUUUUUUUUCCUCCACACUGGUACCACAUGCUUGACUUGAUCAUACUGCAAAAAGAGAAAUCCUCAAAUAAAAAUCAAAACAACACAAUAGAACUGUAUCUUUUUGUUUAAAAGUGUAACAUAAUGAACCCUUCCAUUUAUGCUUAUUUUUGGAGAAUGUGUUCUGUGGUUAGAAAAUUAUAUUAGUCUAAAAAACAUGGUUUCAAACCACAGGUUUCUCAAAAACACCUGGACUCCAUCUUAAAACUACACAGCAUUUGAACAUACUGCUGGGUGUGUAAUAACUUGGAGUAAAUACACAAGAUAGUAAAUGUUUGACAGUAAAAUUAGACUUUUUUUGCUGCACAUUAAGGACUAAAAAUGGUAAAUAAUUUCUGUAUAACUUGGUGUCAAAAGUUUAAGAAACAAGAUGGCGAUUGGGCCACGUUUCAUAAAAUGCUCCAAAUAUCAUCCAACGUGUGUGAAUCACUGAAGGUCCUCAGAGCCUCUUUUUAAGUCUGGAGACUGUGCUGGUCAGUCCAUGUUUUCAAGCUGACCAUCCUGCUCUUUUUUCCUGAAGUAGUUGUGGCAUAGCUUGGACUUACAAUUUGGGUCAUUAUCUUGCUGUAGGAUGAACCCCUGAUCAACUAGGAACAUACCAGAGGGUACUGCAUGGUGCUGCAGAAUGCUGAGUUGGCUGUUUUGGUUCAGGGUUCCUCUCACUCUGUACAAGUCACUGAUCCUGGAUCCAGCAAAACAGCCUCAGACCAUCACGCUUCCUCCUCCAUGUUUGACAGUUGAUGUCACACACUGAGGAAUCAUCCUUUGGCCUACUAAACGGCAUACAAAUGUCCUGCGUGAUGAACCAGAUAUUUCUAAUUUUGAUUCAUCAGUCCAUAAUACCUCCUUCAGUAGUCCACUGGUGGUGUUUCAGGGCCCAAGCAAGCCUCUUUUUCUUAUUCUGAUGCCUUAACAAUGGCUUUCUUGCUCCACCUGUCAAUUCUGCAACUCCAAGUCUUCUCUUCACAGUUGAAACUGAGACUCGCUUGCUACGACCUCUAUACCUCAGAAAAGGACCCUCAGAAACUUGUCUUCUUAUUCUGUGGCUUUGGGUCUUCCAGACCUCUUCCUGUUACAGUUUCUCCCAGUUUCUGAGUGCCUUUUGAUGGUGAAGAAAACUGUACUCACUGACAGCUUGACUUUCUUCACAAUUUCUCUGUAGGAAAGACCUACAUUUUUAAGUGUUAUGAUGGUCUGUCUCACUUCUAUUGUUAGUCGCCUUUUCCUCACCAUUUUUAUAGCAACACACUACUUUCUGCAGUACAAUACAGUUCAAAUCAUGCUCUGGAGGGUAUGGUACCACACUGUGUUCCAACACGACUUUUAUGCAGACAGAGGGGGUUGUAAGUCAUCAAGAAAAGUUGGGACACAUGUAAGAAUUAGUAGCACUAACUUUCAAGACUUGAUCAACCUCCAUUGCUGCAGAACAGCUUUAAGUUUUUAAUCCAUUUCCUGUUCCUUGAAAAAGGCAUUUUUUCUAUAUUUCUGAAAUGUACAUUAUUUUUUCAGUUUUGGGUAACCUUACCUUUUUUUCAAAAAACCUCUGGCAGUUCACCACUUACCUUUGUACCAUUUCAAGCUAUUCAUUGGACUUGAACUACUUGAAUUUCAAUUAAAAACUGGAAAAAAUGGGGCGUUCUAAAACAUUUGACCAGUAGUGUAUA